CCUACGGGAGGCAGCAGUAGGGAAUCUUCCACAAUGGGCGAAAGCCUGAUGGAGCAACGCCGCGUGAGUGAUGAAGGCCUUCGGGUUGUAAAACUCUGUCAUUCGGGACGAACCGGAGUCUGAGGAAAUGCAGACUCUCUGACGGUACCGGAGGAGGAAGCCCCGGCUAACUACGUGCCAGCAGCCGCGGUAAUACGUAGGGGGCAAGCGUUGUCCGGAUUCACUGGGCGUAAAGCGCGCGCAGGCGGUGAUGUAAGUCUGAGGUGAAAACCCGAAGCUCAACUUCGGGACUGCCUUGGAUACUGCGUCACUUGAGGAUAGGAGAGGCAAGGGGAAUUCCACGUGUAGCGGUGAAAUGCGUAGAGAUGUGGAGGAACACCUGUGGCGAAGGCGCCUUGCUGGCCUAUUUCUGACGCUGAGGCGCGAAAGCGUGGGGAGCAAACAGGAUUAGAUACCCUGGUAGUCCACGCUGUAAACGAUGAGUGCUAGGUGUAGGUGGGCUCAUACCCAUCUGUGCCGAAGCUAACGCAUUAAGCNCNCGCGNGGAGUACGUCGCGAGACGUAGAACGUACGAAGAGUAGUAGGACGNGAGAGAGCGACGGACGACGACGACGGAGGGAGGAGG
rnacentral:rRNA from 1 species